AAAGAACACUAGAGCAAAGAGGAUGGCAGGGGAACUUCCAGAUGAAGAAACUGAGUCUCAGAGAGUUUAAAGUAACUCAAGGUCAGAAAGCUAGUGUCAGAACCAAGGCUGGAAUCUAGGUCCUUCAAUUCCCUUGCUUUAAUCUUCCUGCAUUCCACUUCUCUCACAAGAGUUUAUGAUGAGUCUUCUACUAGGAGGGCUGAAAAUACUCCUAUCCAAUCACAAUCUGCAAUGAAGAAGCGUCAUCCCCUACCAUGUACCCUGCUCAGUCUUGUGGGAGAUACAGUUCCCAAGGAGAACAUGUCCUUUCUACAUGUUUAUAAUGGAUAUUAUGCAAGCUUUUUCACAACCACAAUUUUUUUUUAAUUUUGCUCCUCCUAUA